GUUGUCUCGGCAAGUCCUGGAAAAUUAUUGUCCAGCAUUCCUUCUUAUACAACUCAAAUCUCCAAAUAACCAUGAACAAACUUAGCUCGAUUUAAUGGUUUCUGGCACACAACUUAUUGCUGACAGCUACUUGUAACCAAGUUCCUCUAAACACCCACACACGAUGGAAAAAUGAAGACCUGGACAGCUGGGUUUGGUUCCUUCAGACUCAUGAGAAAUUGCUCCAAUUUAUUGAAAAUCUUUCUUAACGUCGAUAUGAGCCAAAGACCGGGGCUGUUACAAGUGAUGUUGACAUAGUCCCUUGAUAUUGUGAACUCCUGAUCCCCAAAAGUACUGUGACUGGAAUAAAGAACUUGCUUAAUGCU